CCCUUAGAUGUCCUGGGCUGCACGCGCGCUACACUGACACAUUCAACGAGUUUUCCUGCUCCGAAAGGGCUGGGUAAUCUUUUUAAAGUGUGUCGUGAUAGGGAUAGAUUAUUGCAAUUAUUAAUCUUCAACGAGGAAUUCCUAGUAAGAGCAAGUCAUCAGCUUGUGCUGAUUACGUCCCUGCCCUUUGUACACACCGCCCGUCGCUCCUACCGGUUGAGUGAUCCGGUGAAUAAUUCGGACUGUAACAAUGAGGGAAACCUCUGUUGUUACAGGAAGUCUAGUAAACCUUAUCACUUAGAGGAAGGAGAANUCGUAACA
rnacentral:rRNA from 1 species